rnacentral:rRNA from 1 species
GACGAACGCUGGCGGCGUGCCUAAUACAUGCAAGUAGAACGCUGAAGGAGGAGCUUGCUUCUCUGGAUGAGUUGCGAACGGGUGAGUAACGCGUAGGUAACCUGCCUGGUAGCGGGGGAUAACUAUUGGAAACGAUAGCUAAUACCGCAUAAGAGUAGAUGUUGCAUGCCAUUUGCUUAAAAGGUGCAUUUGCAUCACUACCAGAUGGACCUGCGUUGUAUUAGCUAGUUGGUGGGGUAACGGCUCACCAAGGCGACGAUACAUAGCCGACCUGAGAGGGGGGUCGGACACACUGGGACGGAGACACGGCCCAGACGCCUACGGGAAGCAGCAGGAGGGCAACUUCGGCAAUAGGCGGAAGUCUGACCGAGCAACGCCGCGGGAGUGAAGAAGGUUUUCGGGUCGGAAAGCUCCGUUGUAAGGGAAGAAAGAGUGUGAGGGUGGAAAGUUGACACUGUGACGGUAUCUGACCAGAAAGCAACGGCUAACUACGUG